rnacentral:rRNA from 1 species
CUACGUGCCAGCAGCCGCGGUAAUACGUAGGUCCCGAGCGUUGUCCGGAUUUAUUGGGCGUAAAGCGAGCGCAGGCGGUUAGAUAAGUYUGAAGUGAAAGGCAGUGGCUCAACCAUUGUAGGCUUUGGAAACUGUUUAACUUGAGUGCAGAAGGGGAGAGUGGAAUUCCAUGUGUAGCGGUGAAAUGCGUAGAUAUAUGGAGGAACACCGGUGGCGAAAGCGGCUCUCUGGUCUGUAACUGACGCUGAGGCUCGAAAGCGUGGGGAGCGAACAGGAUUAGAUACCCUGGUAGUCCACGCCGUAAACGAUGAGUGCUAGGUGUUAGGUCCUUUCCGGGACUUAGUGCCGCAGCUAACGCAUUAAGCACUCCGCCUGGGGAGUACGACCGCAAGGUUGAAACUCAAAGGAAUUGACGGGGGCCCGCACAAGCGGUGGAGCAUGUGGUUUAAUUCGAAGCAACGCGAAGAACCUUACCAGGUCUUGACAUCCCUCUGACCACUCUAGAGAUAGAGUUUCC